GUGGGGUAACGGCCUACCAAGGCUAUGACGGGUAGCUGACGUGAGAGCGUGAGCAGCCACACUGGGACUGAGACACGGCCCAGACUCCUACGGGAGGCAGCAGUGGGGAAUAUUGCGCAAUGGGCGAAAGCCUGACGCAGCGACGCCGCGUGGGGGAGGAAGGCCUUAGGGUUGUAAACCCCUGUCAGGUGGGACGAACCCCGGGUCGGUUAAUAAUCGGCUCGACUGACGGUACCACCAGAGGAAGCCCCGGCUAACUCCGUGCCAGCAGCCGCGGUAAUACGGAGGGAGCGAGCGUUGUUCGGAAUCACUGGGCGUAAAGGGCGCGUAGGCGGCCGAGUAAGUCGUGUGUGAAAGACCGGGGCUCAACUCCGUGUACUGCAUGCGAUACUGCCCGGCUAGAGAAAGGUAGAGGCGAGUGGAAUUCCCGGUGUAGCGGUGGAAUGCGUAGAUAUCGGGAAGAACACCUGUGGCGAAGGCGGCUCGCUGGGCCUUUUCUGACGCUGAAGUGCGAAAGCGUGGGGAGCAUACAGGAUUAAAUACCCUGGUAGUCCACGCCGUAAACGAUGGGCACUAGGCGUUGGGAGGAUUGACCCUCUCAGUGCCGUAGCUAACGCGUUAAGUG
rnacentral:rRNA from 1 species